GCCAUGCCGCGUGAGUGAAGAAGGCCUUCGGGUUGUAAAGCUCUUUUGUUCGGGAAGAAAACGUGUGGGUUAAUACCCGGGGCGGAUGACGGUACCGUACGAAUAAGCACCGGCUAACUUCGUGCCAGCAGCCGCGGUAAUACGAAGGGUGCAAGCGUUAAUCGGAAUUACUGGGCGUAAAGCGUGCGUAGGCGGUUGGUUAAGUCUGAUGUGAAAUCCCCGGGCUCAACCUGGGAACUGCGAUGGAUACUGGGAGACUAGAGUGCGGCAGAGGAUGGUGGAAUUCCCGGUGUAGCAGUGAAAUGCGUAGAGAUCGGGAGGAACACCGAUGGCGAAGGCGGCCCCCUGGACCGGGACUGACGCUGAGGCACGAAAGCGUGGGGAGCAAACAGGAUUAGAUACCCUGGUAGUCCACGCCCUAAACGAUGCGAACUGG
rnacentral:rRNA from 1 species